GUAGGUAUAAAACUCAGUGGCAGAGUGUAUGCCUAGUAUCCAUGAGGCCCUGGGAUCAAUCCCCAGUACCAAAA
rnacentral:tRNA from 1 species